GCCUCGGUGGUAUAGUGGAAGUAGCACGCGUCCCUGGUAUAAAUGAAACGCGGAUUCGAUUCCCGCCUGAGGUC